ACCAGCAUGGUGUAGUGGUUUGCUUGUUGGACUAUGACUCUGGAGACCAGGGUUCAAAUCCCUGCUCAGCAA